rnacentral:rRNA from 1 species
UAGUCCACGCCGUAAACUAUGGAUGCUAGCUGUUGGUCGUAUCGACCCGAUCAGUAGCGAAGCUAACGCGUUAAGCAUCCCGCCUGUGGAGUACGAGCGCAAGCUUAAAACAUAAAGGAAUUGACGGGGACCCGCACAAGCGGUGGAGCGUGUUGUUUAAUUCGAUGGUAAGCGAAGAACCUUACCCAGACUUGACAUCCUUGGAAGGAUAGCGAAAGCUAACUGUGUCCUCGGAAACCAAGUGACAGGUGUUGCAUGGCCGUCGUCAGCUCGUGUCGUGAGAUGCUUGGUUAAGUCCAUCAACGAGCGCAACCCUUGUAGUUAGUUGUAUUUUUCUAGCUAGACUGCCCUGGCAACAGGGAGGAAGGAGGGGAUGAUGUCAGGUCAGUAUUACCCUUACGUCUGGGGCUACGAAACACGCUACAAUGGCCGGUACAAAGGGAAGCCAACCCGCGAGGGGGAGCAAAUCCCAUCAAAGCCGGUCUCAGUUCGGAUUGCAGGCUGAAACUCGCCUGC